GAGGGAAACAGCUGAUCUGCUCUCAGCCCUUCUCCAGAGGUAUGUCCUCAAACUGAGGGCAUUGGUGCUCCCCUGGACCUCACUCCUUCUUCUGGCCUCAGAUUGAACUUUAGAGUAUCCAAUGAGCCCGCCCCAGGGCCGUGUGGGAACCUGAACUGGGAGGAAGCCUUGCCAAGCAGACAGCACCAGUCUGGAAACCUGCCAUUAAAUGAAUCCCCAGCAUCAACAACCUCACAGCCGUUCUGACUCAGCCCCUUCACUGCAGAUUUAUCCACCUGUGUUUCCACUCCAGGGCCAGUUGCAAAAAAAAACAAAACCCUUAUAGUGUCUAAACUAAUCCCAGACACACAUUCAAAUAGUCUCAUGUUUGACAGGUCCCGUAACUUCUCUCUGUAACUUAAUCAGAUAAUCUAUUGCACAUAAGUUGAUUCUGGCUCAGCAUAAAAAGCAAACACACAGCUCAUAACCAAAAGAUUCUUCAUGGCCUGUCAGUCCCUGCAUAACAAAAGCCUUGAUUAAUUUGUUUAGACAUGUUUACAUGAAAGGCUGUAUUUCAAUUUUGAGAUAAGCUUGGACACAGGCCAGACUUAAGAUAUCUGAAAAAAAAUGUACGUUGGUUGAUGGAUAAGAAGUCCAUAAAUCUUCUUUUAAUAAAUUAAGACAUUUUGAACACUUAAUGAAUUUAAAUCAAUUAAAUGUAUCUACUUAUUUAUUUCUAACCUGUGUUAUAAGCAAAUCCAUGAGUCAUAUUUCAAAAAGAUUUAAAGGAUUACCUAUUUUUUAAAGCAAGCUGCUGCAAACAACAAUCAGUGGUCACUGGUUUCUCUAAAGUAAAAGGCAAAGGAAAAAAUUUAAUUCAUAGAACCAUGGAGGAGUUUUACCAGAGGAUUUAAAUUAGUUAUGUAAGGAAAUUCCAGGCUAAAAGUCUGGAAUCUAAAACAAUAAAAAAGUCACAAGCAGUAAUAUGCAAUGUUGUCCUUUUUUGCCUUACAAGGCUGUAUUAAGACCCAUGUAUGCAUG